AACGAAUGCUGGCGGCAUGCCUAACACAUGCAAGUCGAACGAGACCUUCGGGUCUAGUGGCGCACGGGUGCGUAACGCGUGGGAAUCUGCCCUUGGGUUCGGAAUAACAGUUGGAAACGACUGCUAAUACCGGAUGAUGACGUAAGUCCAAAGAUUUAUCGCCCAAGGAUGAGCCCGCGUAGGAUUAGCUAGUUGGUGAGGUAAAGGCUCACCAAGGCGACGAUCCUUAGCUGGUCUGAGAGGAUGAUCAGCCACACUGGGACUGAGACACGGCCCAGACUCCUACGGGAGGCAGCAGUGGGGAAUAUUGGACAAUGGGCGAAAGCCUGAUCCAGCAAUGCCGCGUGAGUGAUGAAGGCCUUAGGGUUGUAAAGCUCUUUUACCCGGGAUGAUAAUGACAGUACCGGGAGAAUAAGCUCCGGCUAACUCCGUG
rnacentral:rRNA from 1 species